AACGCGAAGAACCUUACCUGGGCUCGAAAUGUUAUGGACCGGAGUAGAAAUAUUCCUUCCCAGCAAUGGGCCGUAAUAUAGGUGCUGCAUGGCUGUCGUCAGCUCGUGUCGUGAGAUGUUGGGUUAAGUCCCGCAACGAGCGCAACCCUUACUUCCAGUUGCCAUCAUUUAGUUGGGCACUCUGGCAGAACCGCCUCGGAUAACGGGGAGGAAGGUGGGGAUGACGUCAAGUCCUCAUGGCCUUUAUGUCCAGGGCUACACACGUGCUACAAUGGCCGGUACAAACCGUCGCAAACCCGCGAGGGGGAGCUAAUCGGAGAAAGCCGGCCUCAGUUCGGAUCGCAGUCUGCAACUCGACUGCGUGAAGCUGGAAUCGCUAGUAAUCGUGGAUCAGAAUGCCACGGUGAAUACGUUCCCGGGCCUUGUACACACCGUAGUAC
rnacentral:rRNA from 1 species